UACGUAGGUGGCAAGCGUUGUCCGGAAUUAUUGGGCGUAAAGCGCGCGCAGGCGGUUUCUUAAGUCUGAUGUGAAAGCCCACGGCUUAACCGUGGAAGGUCAUUGGAAACUGGGAAACUUGAGUACAGAAGAGAAGAGCGGAAUUCCACGUGUAGCGGUGAAAUGCGUAGAGAUGUGGAGGAACACCAGUGGCGAAGGCGGCUCUUUGGUCUGUAACUGACGCUGAGGCGCGAAAGCGUGGGGAUCAAACAGG
rnacentral:rRNA from 1 species